rnacentral:rRNA from 1 species
GACGAACGCUGGCGGCGUGCUUAACACAUGCAAGUCGAACGGAAAGGCCCUGCUUUUGUGGGGUGCUCGAGUGGCGAACGGGUGAGUAACACGUAAGUAACCUGCCCUUGACUUUGGGAUAACUUCAGGAAACUGGGGCUAAUACCGGAUAGGAGCUCCUGCUGCAUGGUGGGGGUUGGAAAGUUUCGGCGGUUGGGGAUGGACUCGCGGCUUAUCAGCUUGUUGGUGGGGUAGUGGCUUACCAAGGCUUUGACGGGUAGCCGGCCUGAGAGGGUGACCGGGCACAUGGGGACUAAGGUAGGGCCCAGACUCCUACGGGAGGCAGAGGUGGGAAAUAUUGCACAGUGGGGGGAAGCCUGAGGCGGCAGCGCCCGGUGCGGAAUGCCGGCCUUCGGGUUGUAAACCGCUGUCGCCUGUGACGAAGCGUGAGUGACGGUAAUGGGUAAAGAAGCACCGGCUAACUACGUG